AAGUUUAAGUUAACUAAAACUCAGGACCUUCAAAGUCCUAAAUAGGUACGCACCUAACUUCUG
rnacentral:tRNA from 1 species